rnacentral:rRNA from 1 species
UACGAAGGGUGCAAACGUUGCUCGGAAUUAUUGGGCGUAAAGCGCACAUAGGCGGCUUUGCAAGUCGGAUGUGAAAUCCCUCGGCUUAACCAAGGAAGUGCAUCCGAAACUGCAGAGCUUGAGUACUUAAGAGGAUCGCGGAAUUCCCGGUGUAGAGGUGAAAUUCGUAGAUAUCGGGAGGAACACCAGUGGCGAAGGCGGCGAUCUGGGAAGAUACUGACGCUGAGGUGCGAAAGCGUGGGGAGCAAACAGG